rnacentral:rRNA from 1 species
CCUACGGGAGGCAGCAGUGGGGAAUAUUGGGCAAUGGGCGCAAGCCUGACCCAGCAUCGCCGCGUGAAGGAAGAAGGCCCUCGGGUUGUACACUUCUUUUAUCAGGGACGAAACAAAUGACGGUACCUGAUGAAUAAGCCACGGCUAACUACGUGCCAGCAGACGCGGUAAUACGUAGGUGGCAAGCGUUAUCCGGCUUUACUGGGGGUAAAGGGCGUGUAGUAGGGUCUGCAAGUCAGAUGUGAAAUCUCAUGGCUAAACCAUGGACCAGGAGUUGAAACUGUAGAUCUUGAGUGAUGGAGGGGCAGGCGGAAUGCCGUGUGUAGCGGGGAAAUGCGUAGAUAUACGGAGGAACACCAGUGGCGAAGGCGGCCUGCUGGACAUUAACUGACGCUGAGGCGCGAAAGCGUGGGGCGCAAACAGGAUUAGAUACCCGGGUAGUC